GUUGACUGUCUCAAGUCGGAUCAAGUCACCCAGGACACAGAUUAUGAUGAAAUAGAAUUUCUACACAUUCAAUGGGCUGAAGCAGCAGUUCUUGUUUCGGAUUUGAAGACAGAUUUGAAGAGAGAAAUGGAAAUCAGCCUGGAUAAACUGUUCAAUUAUGCAUUUUUUGGCAAUGCUGAUG